UACGUAGGGACCGAGCGUUGUCCGGAUUCAUUGGGCGUAAAGAGCUCGUAGGCGGCCACUCAAGUCGAAUGUGAAACCUCGAGGCUUAACCUCGAGCCUGCAUUCGAUACUGGGUGGCUAGAGUCUGGUAGGGGGAUCUGGAAUUCCUGGUGUAGCGGUGGAAUGCGCAGAUAUCUGGAGGAACACCGGUGGCGAAGGCGGCAUCCUGGACCGGUAUUGACGCUGAGGCGCGAAAGCCAGGGGAGCAAACGGG
rnacentral:rRNA from 1 species